rnacentral:lncRNA from 1 species
CUUUCCACUAGAUGUUGGAACAUUGCUGCGGGGACUUGGUUCCUUUCAGCCACAAGAGCAUUAGUGAGGUCAAGCCCUGAUGUUGGGCGAUUAGGCCUGGCCUGCAGUCAGCGUUCCAAUUCAUCCCAAAGGUGUUCGAUGGAGUUGAGGUCAGGGUUCUGUGUAUAGCAGUCAAGUUCUUCCACACCAAUCUCAACAAACCAUUUCUCUAUGGACUUUGCUUUGUGCAUGGGGCAUUGUCAUGCUGAAACAGGAAAGGGCCUUCCCCAAACUGUUGUCACAAAGUUGGAAGCACAGAAUUGUUUAGAAUGUCAUUGUAUGCUGCAGCGUUAAGGUUUUCCCUUCACUGGAACUAAGGGGCCUAACCCGAACCACGAAAAACAGCCCCAGACCAUUAUUCCUCCUCCACCAAACUUUACAGUUGGCACUAUACAUUCGGGCAGGUAGCGUUCACCUAGCAUCCGCAAAACCCAGAUUCGUCCUUUAGACUGCCAGAUGGUGAAGUGUGAUUUAUCACUCCAGAGAACAGCGAGCUUUACACCACUCCAGCUCAUUGCGCAUGGUGAUCUUAGACUUGUGUGCGGCUGCUUGGCCAUGGAAACUCAUUUCAUGAAGCUCCCGACGAAUAGUUCUUGUGCUGACGUUGUGUCCAAAGGCAGUUUGGAACUCGGUAGUGAGUGUUGCAACUGAGGACAGAAUAUUUUUACUUGCUACACGCUUCAGCACUUGGCGGUCCCGGUUUGUGAGCUUGUGUGGCCUACCACUUCGCGGCUGAGCCGUUGUUGCUCCUAGAUGUUUCCACAUCACAAUAACAGCACUUACAGUUGACCAGGCAGCUCUAGCAUGGCAGAAAUUUGACGAACUGACUUGUUGAAAAGGUGGCGUCCUAUGGCGGUUCCACGUUCAAUCUCACUGAGCUCUUCAGUACGGGCCAUUCUACUGCCAAUGUUUGUUUAUGGACAAUGUAUGGCUGUGUGCUCAAUUUUAGCCGAAUACACUAAUUUUAAGGGAUGUCCACAUACUUUUGGCCAUGUAGUAAACACAUGAACCUGUGCUACUUACAGAUUGUUAUCAAUAAAACGUCACAAUAGCGUUCAAUUUGGCUGCUGGGGGGCAAGGAGACCCCCAGCUCCCCUUAAACCAUUGACAACUGCGUGCUGUUUUCAAGGGAUUGUUGAAUACAUUUGAUAACUAUUUGGUUGUAAUAUCAACACCUCUUGAAGAGCAUAGUUAGACCUACACAGUUCCCAUUAUUCCACGUCAUUAUUCCACGUCAUUAUUCCACGUUUAGCUCCAUCAUCAGAGUUAUUUAAGCAAUAAAGACUGAGGGGUCGUGGUAUAUUGGUAUACCACAAACCCCUGAGGUGCCUUAUUGCUAUUAAAAUGGGAAAUGUGUAGGUCUGACCAUGCUCAUGAAGAGGGG